GGAAUUCUGUGGCAAGUUUGUUUUAUUACUUCCAUGCUCUAUGUCUUUGUUGAACUAUCCAGAAUUUGGUUUUGGGCUGUUUAGAAUUUAUUGUUCAGAAAUCUGUCUUGUGCAAAUUUCUCUCUGUUUAUGUUUUAGGUUGAAGAUGGCCCAGAGAGAGAGAACUCCCAUUAAUUGGAAUCAAAAGGAAACCCUGAAAUAAUUUUUUAAGGAUGGAAUGACACGAGUUGGUUCAGAAUUAAUACCAAGAGCUGCAUCAGCUACUGGUUUGGACACCAGUGUCGUAGAAAUAAGGUUUACUUUUGUGCCACACUAACAAACAACAUGUCAAAUAAAUAUAUAAUUCUGCUGCACUGCUUGUUUAAAUGAAGUGUUUUGUUAACAUUCGGUUUAAUUGGUGUAAUAUCCUUUCGCUAUUUUUUUGUUUUUCAGAACUGGAUUGGUAAUUACAAAAGAUCAAAAAUGACUAAUGCUUCGUCUGAGCCCCGGCCAAAGUUCACAUUAGAGAGCUGUCGUCUUACAAUCUUUUUUGUAGGGACAUAUUCAAAAACAAAGGCACAAUGAAUGAUAUUAAGGGCAGGUGCGCCACAUUGGGGGAAGAUGCAAAGCAAAAAUACAUUCAGGA